CAGCCGCCGCGGUAAUACGAAGGGUGCAAGCGUUAAUCGGAAUUACUGGGCGUAAAGCGUGCGUAGGCGGUUUGUUAAGUCUGUUGUGAAAUCCCCGGGCUCAACCUGGGAAUGGCAAUGGAUACUGGCAAGCUAGAGUGUGUCAGAGGAUGGUGGAAUUCCCGGUGUAGCGGUGAAAUGCGUAGAGAUCGGGAGGAACAUCAGUGGCGAAGGCGGCCAUCUGGGACAACACUGACGCUGAGGCACGAAAGCGUGGGGAGCAAACAGGAUUAGAUACCCCAGUAGUCCCUGUCUCUUAUAU
rnacentral:rRNA from 1 species